UUCAUGCAAGGCCUUCCAAAACUUGUGGGGUUUUGUUCGCUUGUCUCUUGCAUCUGCUGUUAUGCUUUGCUUAGAAGUUUGGUAUUUUAUGGCAUUGAUACUCUUUGCUGGAUACUUAAAGAACGCAGAGGUUUCAGUGGAUGCCUUGUCCAUAUGCAUGAACAUUUUGGGCUGGAUGGUCAUGGUAGCCAUUGGAAUGAAUGCAGCUAUAAGCGUAAGAGUAUCAAAUGAACUAGGCGCAGGUCAUCCAAGAACAGCAAAAUUUUCAGUAGUAGUGGCUGUUAUAUCAUCCCUCAUGAUUGCUGCCAUUCUUGCUCUCAUUCUCAUCCUCACAAGAAAUAAAUAUCCAUCUUUGUUUUCCACGGAUUCUCAAGUUAAACAACUUGUCAACGAUCUAACACCAGUCCUUGCUCU
rnacentral:misc_RNA from 1 species